UACGUAGGUGACAAGCGUUGUCCGGAUUUACUGGGCGUAAAGAGCGCGCAGGCGGUCGAUCAAGUCGAGUGUGAAAGCCCCCGGCUCAACUGGGGAGGGUCAUUCGAUACUGAUCGACUCGAAGGCAGGAGAGGGUAGUGGAAUUCCCGGUGUAGUGGUGAAAUGCGUAGAUAUCGGGAGGAACACCAGUGGCGAAGGCGACUACCUGGCCUGUCCUUGACGCUGAGGCGCGAAAGCUAGGGGAGCAAACGGGG
rnacentral:rRNA from 1 species